UCGAAAGACGUGGUAGCGAUAGGUAGUGUUAACCGCAGUCAGCGCUGCGUUUCAUCUCUGCCCAGCAGGACGUGUGAAGACACAGCAGAAUCAUCUGCAGUGGAACCAGUUGAGGAGAGCGCAGCCGUGGACGUGGGCACCCACCAGGUGAUGGCCUUAGAGGACUGGUCUGACGCAGUGUGUGUGUGGCCUGAAGACAUGGUUGAAGAGCCAAAAGCUUCCUGAGCCAUCAGCAGAAACCAGGAGGCUUUCUGGUGAGGAGAGAGGCAGGAGGCUUGUCUAGGCAGCUGAAGAAGGGGCAGUGCAGGAGCUGUGGACACUGCUGACAGCUGGAGCAGGUCUGUGGGCGAGGGAUGCAAACGAGAUGACCGACCUGCUCUGUGCAGCAGCCGACGGAGGCGGCGAAGCUGGGAGGUGUCCGGCGGGGAGGUGGCCGCCAGGGACUUCUGCACUGGGCCGGAGCGAAUGGGUACACACCUGUGGAGCAGCAGCCGGUGCCGUCCUCUGCCGACACCCGACACCAGUCGUGUGGACGCCAUUGCAUUAUGUGGUGUGCUAUGGCCGCACAGGGGUGGCAACGGCGGUUCUCGUGGCAAGGGCUGUCGGGGAGACCAGGGAUGACAAGAGGAGGAACACCGCACUGGAUCUACCUGGGCAGUACUGCAAACAGCAGCCUAUAGACAUACUCACACAGAGCUAAUUCAUCAACAAAGCUUUGUGCAAUAAAAUUGAAAUAUUUUAACUGUGU